rnacentral:lncRNA from 1 species
AUGUGAAGGUGAUGGGCUGGACGGGGAAGAUGAAGCAACGGGGUAGCCAUGAGAGGUCGUUUGGUGGUUUAGGGUUAGAGAGGGUGUGUUGUGAGGAAGAUGAAGAGAGGAAGAUGAAGCAACGGGGUAGCCAUGAGAGGUCGUUUGGUGGUUUAGGGUUAGAGAGGGUGUGUUUGUGAGGAAGAUGAAGAGAGGGUUUGAUAUUUUUUGGGUCGGAUCGGUCGGGAUGCUUAUAUUUAAUUUUUAAUUUUUUUAAUUCCACGUGUCACGUUUUGAUUGGCCAUUAAAUAAACUUGNNNNACGGGGUAGCCAUGAGAGGUCGUUUGGUGGUUUAGGGUUAGAGAGGGUGUGUUGUGAGGAAGAUGAAGAGAGGGUUUGGUGUUUUUUGGGUCGGG